GAUGUACUUUUGUGUUUUGCUCCCACCUACUACUUGCAAGUAAAGGCUGUGAAGUCGUUUUGCUUUUCCUCUGUUUAGAGCAGUGUGUGAAAGCAUAGUUCAGGCUGCGUAGGCACUCAGUCCUGCACAGCUCUGCAUUUAACACCUGGGAUGCUCUGUGUCAGACCUGAGAAACCUGUUCUGAAGCUUGUGAAAUGCUGUUGAAAGAUUCCCCCUGCCCUUGAUGGGCUGUAGAAAGGCAGACAGGCACGCAGCUGGACUGAUCCAAUAGUGAUGGGCGAAAACCAACCCCUGGCUUACAAAAGCAGGUGGCUGGAAAACACCAUUUAAAUGAGACCAGCCACGGGCGCGUCAUGUCUGGUUUGGAGUGAGCUCUUGGCUUAAUGGGUGAGUUUUUAAUCUGUUUUAAUCUGCAUCCCAAGUGGCACAUCCAUAGACCUGAUUUAGCAAUUUGGGGGAUGCAGGAGGAGGUGAGCUUGGGGAUGUGGUCCCCUCCCAGGUGGUGCAUGGAUAAAUACCUGUCUGUACUUGCCCCAAGCAAAAAUUUAACAUGCAGCAGAUUAAAGUGGGGUCUCGGUAAGAUCGUAACCUUGUUUGGGAUCGGCUGCUUUAAUCUGCAGUGAUGAUUAGAAAGGAGAAGGAGAGUCCUGUGGAGGAAAAUAGCAUUAUAUGGCUCUGGGUAGCACCUUGACAGCAGAAAAAUCAGAAAGCAGAGGAUGAGGGAUAAGCUGAGGGGUUGAGUGCUGGCAGGAAUGUGGGGAGGGACAGGGCUACCCCGCAGCACCAG